UACGGGGGGGGCAAGCGUUGUUCGGAAUUUCUGGGCGUAAAGGGCUCGUAGGCGGCCAACUAAGUCAGACGUGAAAUCCCUCGGCUUAACCGGGGAACUGCGUCUGAUACUGGAUGGCUUGAGGUUGGGAGAGGGAUGCGGAAUUCCAGGUGUAGCGGUGAAAUGCGUAGAUAUCUGGAGGAACACCGGUGGCGAAGGCGGCAUCCUGGACCAAUUCUGACGCUGAGGAGCGAAAGCCAGGGGAGCAAACGGG
rnacentral:rRNA from 1 species